rnacentral:snRNA from 1 species
GGAUGUGAGGGUAAUCUGGCUGUGACAGCUGUCAACCCAUUGAUUGCCAGGGUUGAUCUGACUAAUUAGGCAGGUGUCUCCUUCCUUCCUCCCUCACCGCUCCAUGUGUGUCCCUUCUGAAGUUGCAUGCUUGGUUGAAGAGAAUGACCUUCCCUGAAUAGACACAGACUGGUUUUUGGUGGAGAGUAUAUAUAAGUGCGUAGUUGCACUCCUGCCUCUAGGACCUCCAAACCAGCUCUCAAAAUAAAGAAAGAGAGGUCAGAGUCAAUAGAUAACUGGUUCAAGAAGUUAUGGUAUAUAUAUCCUAUGGAAU